GGCGAUUGGUGUAGAAAUUUACACGGGGUCAAAAAGAAAUUGAAACCACAGAAAGCUCUCAAAGAAUAUGAGCUGCCCAAUGCUUGAAGUUGUGUAAGGAGCAACUACUUUGCUGAAAAUCAGGUGUUGUAGAUUGUACACCGAAGUUUGAAGAUGCAUAAGGAGCAAACAAGCUGUUUCAUUUACCAGAUUACAAACA